rnacentral:lncRNA from 1 species
UUGUAAGGGUUCCUUCUGAGACUUUUAGAGGAGAAACAACCAAAUCAGAGAAGACAGAAGAGACCAUGUAGUCUAACCAGGAAUUAUCAGAGGGUUGUGGGAGCUCAGAUAACACUUGUCCAAGGCAUUUCAGAAGACUUCUGAAGAGUUGACAUAUCUGAGUACUGAAGAUGAGCUCUUGUUAGCAAGCCUAAAGAAAGUGAAUACAAAGAUUGUGCAGGGCAGGCUACUGAUAUGUGACUUUCCAGAGGUGGAUGUGGUUAACUAUGGCAGGAACUUACGGUGUUUGCUUGAAUUUGCUUCUGAGAGCAAAAUUGGGGACAUUAGAAAAAAAACUACCUAUUUGGUAUUUUGUGAUUAAGGGCCCCGGAUACUUAGCCAGUUGUCCUUUAAAGAACUGGUGCUGGGCUGUCUAGGCAGCUCCUCCUAUACCGCCAGGCAGCUUGAGUGAGCUACCACCCCGGAAAUGACGUGCUGCCCUGCUGGCGGUGCGGAAGUGGAGAUGGCGGAGCUGUACGUGAAGCCCGGUGAGCGCGGCUGGCGGGCUGGUGGUACUCGCCCUCUCCCGUCCCCUAAACCCCAGUGUAUGCUCCGUUGGUCUCUUGGGUUCCUGGUCUCGUUUCACACACUUCUUCGCCUUCGCAGGCAACAAGGAACGCGGCUGGAACGACCCGCCACAAUUCUCCUACGGGCUGCAGACUCAGACUGGUGGAACCAAACGCACUCCCCUUACUA